UGCAUUACGGUAUACAUGUAGCUCUAGGAACACUAACACUCGUUGUUUAACUAUUUCUAUGAAUGUGUAAGAAAUAUAUAAUAUUAAGAACACUGUGUCCGUGUGGAGUGAACGUUUUUGAUAAUAUAGUCGGAUAAUAUAUUCGUGAUACUUUUUAUUUUGUUGAGAAGUUACUAAACAAUGAUGUUGUGAUCGACGGGAAAACAAUUAUAUGCGAUGUCUAAACUUGAAUGGGAUUGACUAAAAGAUCAAAAGACCAAUACUGGAAAAGCUGAUGACUGUGACAAAAGGCGCUAAUCGAAGAAAACAAAAAUCAGAGACGAACAAUUAAAUAUGCAUAAGAUAUACAUGAUCAAGAGAAGAACGAAUGGACAUGCAUAACAUCCCAGGUCAGAUAUUGAACAAGGAUCAGAAGAAAGAAUAGAUUUAGACAUUUGUGAAAGGAACAAUAGAAAUUUUGGAAGUGUACUCUUUCUGAAACGUAUAACUACAGCAAAGAUGUGAUCAUUGUAUUAGAAACUGAACUUUCCAGUCUUCUAGUGGUUUAAUUAGCAUACAAUUAUAUAUACCUUCAUGUUUUUAUACACUUAUCUUUUUUUAUAUUUUUUAAUCUUUAUAUUAUAUUUGAUCGAAGUAGCAAUGAAAAAAACUGGAAUAUAUAAAUAUAUAAGAGAAAAUUAUUGCAUUUUAUACUUGGAAUAACUUAAAGCGGAGAUAUGACGUUUCAUUGAGCCUUGAUAUCAGCACAAUUGUACGUGAUAUUAGUAACUCAUUUUAAUGGAAUAUAGCGGAAUUCAGAUACAUCUGUUCGGAAAGCGAUGCGACCUUGACUCAGCCCAUAUGUUUACUCGUAUAGAAUCAAACCUUUUUGAUCUUAUUUGAAAUUCCUUUUUAAAUCAAAAACUACUUAUUUGUAUGAAUGGGAUCGUUCGACAAAGAUUAAAGAUAUCAGGAAAUUAUUGUUAUAUUUCUUACGAAGCUUUUAAACUUAAGUACUGACAAAUUAUAUGUUAUGGAAACACUUCAGAAUUAGUAACUUUAACUAUUUUUCCAUUUUAAAAUUGAAAAGCAUUUGUAACGGGUAUCAAAUGUAAAUUGUCUCAAUUAUAAAGCUUUGUUUAAGCGGCUGUUACAUACGACUGUAUAUUAGUCAAAAUAGUAGGAAAGAAUUUACUGGCGAGGCAACCCAGUUUCAAUUUCUCAGUCGGACAUAUUUUUUGUUGAUUAAGCAUUUUUAAAAUAGUUUAGAAAUAAAAGAUCAUGUUCUAAUACUCAUUAUAUUACAAACUUUCCAGAAGGAUCAUUCUUAGCCUAAAUCUGGAGUCCGGGUGUAUUUUUUUUCUAAUAUACAUUUCUCUGUAAAGCUAUUGUAUUUCUUUUAAAUUGCAUACUUUUACACUUUGUAUAAGAUACGUUAUUAUUAUUUUGAGUAAGCAUACAGCAGAAGCAUCUUUAGUUCAGCUGCUUUGUCUGUGUGGAUAACAUCAAAGCGUAUUUAUCAAAAACACUAAAAAUAACAGAUAAAAGUGAAAAAUGUAAAUUGAAACAUUCGCAAUAUCUAAUUUUAAUAGAUGAUGUUUUAAGGAGAUUCAGACCAGGAACUAAAGAACUAGGAAAUUCUACACGGUCGGGUAUGCGUAACACUACCACACGGCCGAUCAGUCGAUAAAAAGUAUGUAGAUAUAUUUCUCUAAUUAUGGGGUUGACCUUGCUCAAAUGACAGGUCAUCCCUAUUAAAAUUGCUAGUUUUAUGCAUGUGCAGGCUUUUCAUUUACUUUGCAAAUAAGUUAUAUAUGCAACGAUAAAGAUGUUUACUAAGAUAAACAUAUACAUACACGAGAUACUGGAAAAAUUAUUAGCCACGCAUAGGGUAGUUUUGAUACAAGAACACCUUUAUAUUUUACUCUGCGGGUCUUAGUCGUGUAACGUAUUGUUGAAAUUACUGUUGUUAUAAUGAUAUCUUAAACAAUCUGCGUCAUUUCAAGUCUAUGAUUCACAGGUUUUGAUUUAUUCAUGCUAAUGUUAAAGAUCUAGUAAGAAAAGUACAUUAGCAUAGGCAUUAUUGCUAUACCCUGUAACACCUUUAUACGUUUUUUCACAACAUACAUGUUCAUAUUUGUUAAAGGGAGCAAACUCAAAUAAAAGUGAUCAAUUUUAAAAUCGUUUUUAUAAUUUUGAGUUACGAAGAAACCAAUUAAAGGGAGCAAACUCUAUGAAAGAUAAACGUUUUAUUCUGUAUUUAUUUUGUGCUGUAAUGCAAAUUCUGUGGUUGCUGACUUACAAUGUGUUUCCU
rnacentral:lncRNA from 1 species